CAGUCGAACGGCAGCACAGGAGAGCUUGCUCUCUGGGUGGCGAGUGGCGGACGGGUGAGGAAUACAUCGGAAUCUACCUUUUCGUGGGGGAUAACGUAGGGAAACUUACGCUAAUACCGCAUACGACCUACGGGUGAAAGUGGGGGACCGCAAGGCCUCACGCGAUUAGAUGAGCCGAUGUCCGAUUAGCUAGUUGGCGGGGUAAUGGCCCACCAAGGCGACGAUCGGUAGCUGGUCUGAGAGGAUGAUCAGCCACACUGGAACUGAGACACGGUCCAGACUCCUACGGGAGGCAGCAGUGGGGAAUAUUGGACAAUGGGCGCAAGCCUGAUCCAGCCAUACCGCGUGGGUGAAGAAGGCCUUCGGGUUGUAAAGCCCUUUUGUUGGGAAAGAAAUCCUGUCGAUUAAUACUCGGUGGGGAUGACGGUACCCAAAGAAUAAGCACCGGCUAACUUCGUGCCAGCAGCCGCGGUAAUACGAAGGGUGCAAGCGUUACUCGGAAUUACUGGGCGUAAAGCGUGCGUAGGUGGUGGUUUAAGUCUGCUGUGAAAGCCCUGGGCUCAACCUGGGAAUUGCAGUGGAUACUGGAUCACUAGAGUGUGGUAGAGGGAUGCGGAAUUUCUGGUGUAGCAGUGAAAUGCGUAGAGAUCAGAAGGAACAUCCGUGGCGAAGGCGGCAUCCUGG
rnacentral:rRNA from 1 species